UUAGGAAUAAAUACAUGGGUGUUCAUCUCCAGAAAGCCUCAAACCCAGUCCUCUUCUUGAUCACAAGAUAAACAAAGAUAAAGUUUCUAUGUUUGUGUGACUGGAAAAAGGUUUGACAUAUUGUGAUAACAUUCCUCACGAUGCCUGAUUCUGACACAGUCUGAGGAUGAUUUCUUCUUUCUUUUCAAAGAUACAUUAGAUUGUGUACUUGAUUCACUGAUGUUUCUGCAAAGGCCUGGAACACCUUUAGGAUUGGGAUUCACUAAAAGCAACCCCACUGUGCCAACACAGCAGUAUGCUCAGCUAAUCAUAAGCAUCAAGAAUAUUUUGAAAUCCUCUCUUGCAGAAUUUAUUCUCCUUUUGUUUUAAUGAAUCAUUCUGUGUCC